GAUGAACGCUAGCGGCAGGCUUAACACAUGCAAGUCGAGGGGCAGCACGUCUUCGGAUGGUGGCGACCGGCGCACGGGUGCGUAACGCGUAUACAACCUACCUUAUAGAGGGGAAUAGCCCAGAGAAAUUUGGAUUAAUGCCCCAUAGUAUUAUUGAAUAGCAUUAUUUGAUGAUUAAACAUUUAUGGCUAUAAGAUGGGUAUGCGUUCUAUUAGCUAGAUGGUAAGGUAACGGCUUACCAUGGCGACGAUAGAUAGGGGUCCUGAGAGGGAGAUCCCCCACACUGGUACUGAGACACGGACCAGACUCCUACGGGAGGCAGCAGUGAGGAAUAUUGGACAAUGGGCGAGAGCCUGAUCCAGCCAUGCCGCGUGCAGGAAGACGGCCCUAUGGGUCGUAAAACUGCUUUUAUACGGGAAGAAACACUCCUUCGUGAAGGAGCUUGACGGUACCGUAAGAAUAAGGAUCGGCUAACUCCGUGCCAGCAGCCGAC
rnacentral:rRNA from 1 species